UCUGACCGUCUUUUUUGUUCAGUUCUCUGCCUCUAUUGAUUUUGCUUGCAUUGCUCUCUCUUCCUAUUGAGCCUUCACUAUUUUCAUCAGAGAACUUUUUGUUUCUUUGCUCAGUUCUCCAGCGGGUUCUUCUUCUUCUUCCUCUUUAUUUUUUGCUUCGUUUUUGGUGAAUUUUCGAUUUCCUCUAUUUUUUAAGCCAUGUGUAUGUUUCAAUCUUCAAUGUAAAUUUUCAAGGUUUAGUGUUUUGUGAUUUUGACUGAAUCGUAAUUUGGGUUGCAUGUGUUCUCUAUGUCUUGAUAUGAAUAGUGAGAGUUAGUUUACCGUGGUUUGCACCUACAAAUUUGGUCUUGAUCCUUUUGUACCUUUUAAUUGCUAAUGGGAUCUGUAGUCAAACGAUUUCUUUUCAAUAUGCCUUAAUUUCUCAAUUUUUCAGUUUCAUGUUAUCUUUGGUAUAUAGUCGUGAUGAUUUUUUUUUAAUUUGUUUUUGGUGGUAGUUCUUGCUUCUUCUUUUCUUUGGUGGGCAUCUGGUAUUUCCUCUGUUCGUGUGGAUAUUUUUAAAAUUAAUUUAUGCGACCAAUGUGUUUGACGAAUUUUCCUAGCAAAAGGAAGACUUGUGCGUGCUAGGCUGAUGAAGCUGAAUUAUGGUUUCGCUCUGCUUACUGUGCCUGUGCUUCUUUUCUUUUCCCUCAAUGUUCUGCCCCUGUGUCGACAAGGGGUUACCACAUAAGUGUUUCUAGAAUUACUUUAAUUUUUGUGGUUAUUUUGUAAUGGUAUUUCAAUUGCUUGCAUGUGUAAUUCUGCAGUAGCAAUAUUACUAUUUCUCUAACUUUUGUUGACAUGGAAAAUUAGAUGACUUAUAGUUUUCAAAUUGAGUAGAUACUUUUCCCUGUGAUAUCUUUUUCAUUUAAAAAUUUUCAAGAAAAUAAUUGAUAAAUAUUUGUAUGUUAGGGAGUCAUGCCGUGAGGUGAUCUAUUUUCCUUGUGACAUCUUUCAACUUCCAGGUAAUUUAUUGAGGAAGAAUUGGUGAAAGUUAUUGAAUUCUUUAAUGUUGUUGUGAAAUUGGCAGUGAAAUUAAAGGUUCAAACUCAAGGUAAGUUUUUCACUGUUAUUCUUUUUGUUGUCUGUACUACAUUUGAGAAAAUAUGGCCAUAGCAAGCUGAGGAAGGUGACAAAAAAAAUAUAAGUUGCAAAUUCAGAAUAAUGAGCACACCGGAUCAGGCAAAAGAUUUGAUUUUAGCUUCCCCAAUUUCCAAGCCCUUUAGGUGCAAUUCCACAUUCUUUACAGAACCUUAAAAUUUUGGGUCGCUUUUUCUUGAAAAAUGAAUUUCAGUGUUCUGCUUUGUCUAUUGUAUCAAGCAGUUGUUCAUGGAUAAAAACUGCAACUUUAGUAUUGGAUACGAAAACAAAACUUAGAAAAUACUUCACCUCUACAUUUAAUUUUUGUAACUGACGCAGCUUUCUUCUAAUAUUUUUAAUAUCUCAAUUGCAAGAUAGAGGGAAGCAAUAACUUGACAAAAUGAUUGUUAUCAUACUCUUAAUAAUUGUUACUCUGGAAUUGAGGAGGAUGAUCAUACAAGUAUAGGGUGACUUAUGCUGCUUGAGAUCAAUUAGGUGAUCUAUAUACUCAUAUAAUAUCACUAAACUCUACUUUAGAGUUCCUGUAGUGCUGUUCGGUUUUAACUAACUACUCUAAUGAGUUC
rnacentral:lncRNA from 1 species